GCCAGCAGCUGUAUCACCCUUAAACUCACUACUGGCAACUCAGGAAAGCUCAGCAGGCGUGAGCCUGGUCAGUGUCUGAAUGGGAGACCUCCUGGGAAAGCUGAGGCUGCUGCUGGAA
rnacentral:rRNA from 1 species